CGCGUAGGCGGUCGGAUAAGCGGGCGGUGAAAGCCCGGGGCUCAACCCCGGGUCGGCCGUGCGAACUGUUCGACUCGAGCACUGUAGAGGCGGGUGGAAUUCCGGGUGUAGCGGUGGAAUGCGUAGAGAUCCGGAAGAACACCGGUGGCGAAGGCGGCCCGCUGGGCAGUGGCUGACGCUGAGGCGCGACAGCGUGGGGAGCAAACA
rnacentral:rRNA from 1 species